rnacentral:rRNA from 1 species
GUUUGAUCCUGGCUCAGAGCGAACGCUAGCGGCGAGCUUAACACAUGCAAGUCGAGCGGAGGGUUUCGGCCCUCAGCGGCGGACGGGUGAGUAACACGUAGGUUACGUGCCCUUUGGUGGGGAAUAACUUAGGGAAACCUGAGCUAAUACCGCAUAUGCCCUUCGGGGUGAAAGUCUUCGGACGCCAGAGGAUCGGCCUGCGGCCCAUUAUUUAAUCCUUGUUGGUGGGGUAACGGCCUACCAAGGGUACGAUGGGUAGCUGGUCUGAGAGGAUGAUCAGCCACACUGGGACUGAGACACGGCCCAGACUCCUACGGGAGGCAGCAGUGGGGAAUAUUGGACAAUGGGGGAAACCCUGAUCCAGCUACGCCGCGUGGGUGAUGAAGGCCUCGGUUGUAAAGCCUGUCGAGGGGGACGAAGUUACUGACGGUACCCCUCCAAGAAAGACACCGGCUAACUCCGUG